CCUUCGCGAGCCCGUGGACGGCCGCCUCUACCGGGGAGUGGGAGUGGGCUUCCUGGACAGACAAACACAACAGUGUGAUGUCACUCAUUGUCAUGUUCUACCGUUCUAAUCAAAAGAAAUGAUUAUUUUCCUAACUGUAUGCUAAUUACUAACACUUAGAUGUGUGACUUAAACGCUACAUUUUGUUUUUCAAUUUUCACAACAGCUUGUAUUGUACUAAUGCAAAUAUUUUAUAUUGAUUUUGAAUUUCAGCAUUUUAUCCUAUGUAUUUAGACUGGGUGGCUUGGUACACUCGUGGUUAACACAGUUCUGGCUUCGAAUCUCAGCUCAGACUUUCCAUGUUCUCCUUCCACAUUCCAAAAACAUACAUGCCAGGUUCAGUGAAGACUAAAUGGUCAAUUGGUGUCAAUGAUUGUUGGUUUGUAUAUUAUUUGUAUAUUUAAUUAAGAAAAUGGAGUCACAAAAGCCCUGUCUUCUAUUACAAUAAACAUAUACAGGUGCAUCUAAAAAAAAAAAAAAAAAAAUAGAAUAGCGUUGACCAUUAAUUUAUUAAAAGUCAAUUUAUUUCAGUGGUUCAAUUUGAAACAUAAAACUUGUCAAUUACAUAAGUCAUCAAACACUGGAAAAUGAAUUGUUCCCUCUUUUCACAACAAAAAUCAUUUUUGAUUCUUUCUCGAGAUGGUAAUGUUGGAGUUUGACUGUGAUCUAUAAUCGUCAAAAUUUUAAAAAAUGAAAUUAGUUCAGUGUUCCACGAUAUUCUAAUUUAUUGAGAUGCACGUCUGUAAGUAAUAUGCACUCACCAGGCUUUUAUUAGGUACACCUGCACAUUCAACACCAGGGCUCUAUCGAAAACCAACCUUUAUCGACAAUAAUAAGGCUUCAUUUUGAUUGACACUGUUUAACCUUAACAUUACAGUUAUUAUUGUGAUAUGCCGUGGUGUAGAAAUGUGCUUCAUCAUUCUGACAGCUGUUUCUAAUACUGUGGAUACCUUAGUACAAAAUGUGCAAAAUACAAUCCACUGACACGAACACCAAAUAAGAGCAUUAUGAUCACAGCAAAUGCUUAAUGAUUAAUACAAAUAUUGCAUUAAGUGCAUGAAAUCUAUGUAACUGUGUUAGACUGCAAGUAAGCUAUUGUGGCCAUUGAGUGUAUAAGCAAUGACUAGUGGUUAAAGGCAUACUGUUAUUGUUUGUAGUACCACUAAUGAGAAUCAUUAUGUAUCGGGACAAUUACAAUUACAUCUCUGUCAUAUGUCAUUAUAGUUAUCGAUAUUAUCCACCCAUCUCAUUAACUAUAGCGCUUGUACUCAUUAGGGUCCCGGUCAUGAGGUGGAGCUAAAUAUCCCAGCUAAAUUUAAAAAUCGCAGGACACAUAAAGACAAGACAUAAAGACAUUCACACUCACAUUUAUACCAAUGGAUAAUUUAGAGUCUUCAACUAACUUAACAGCCAUGUUUUAGGAAUUAGGGAGGAAGCCAUAGUACCUGGAGUUUAUACAUUUUUCUAACUAUUUUACUGCACUAAAAGUUAGUGAGUAAUGAAAUGUAUUUGGGUAUAUUUGCGUAUACUAUUUUACAACAACUGCACUUUGUUAGUACAUUAUAAAUGACUGAGUAUAUAGACAAAUGUAUUUUAUGUGAGUGUAUAUGCAGUAUAUGCACAAUAUUGCACUUAUGUCAGUAUAUACAGCAGUUAUGUAAUUCAUGUGGGGGUAUUUGUGCAUUCUGUAGUCCAUCCAUCCAUUUUCUGUUCAUUUUUCCUAUCCUCACUAGGGUCGCGGGCGUGCUCUAGCCAAUCUUCGGGCUAGAGGCAGGGUACACCCUGAACUAGUCGCCAGCCAAUCGCAGGUCACAUAUAGACAAACAACCAUUCAUACUCACAUUCACACCUAAGGGCAAUUUAGAGUCUUCACUUAACCUACCAUGUAGGUUUUUGGGAUGCGGGAGGAAACCGGAGUACCCGGAGAAAACCCACGCAGGUACGGUGAGAACAUGCAAACACCACACAGGCGAGGCCGGGAUUUGAACACUGAUCCUCAGAACUGUGAGGCAGAUGUGCUAACCAGUUGUCCACCGUGCCGCCGCAUACUGUAGUAUCUGAGUAAAUCAACAUUGUUACUGUAUGGGUGUGAAUAAUGUCCUUUUUGUGAAUAUAUCUGCAUACAGUUUGCUGCCCCUGCUCUAUUUUCACUUAACUUUUCUAAUCUUUUCUUAAUUUCCUCUCUCACCUGCUACAGGUACUGCAGAUGCAAGUAGGCUACAAAGCAGUAAUCUGGCAUAGAGUAUUUCUACCCUUGAGUUUAAUUAUUUCUGUACACAGUCCCUGACAAAUACAUGGACAAAAGACAAACAAGCACGGGGGAAAUAUCCACACAAUCUCCACACAGUAAGGCUGGAGCUGAGAUUCAAACCCAAAACUUCAGAACUGAGAGGCAGCUGUGCAAACCACUAGUACACCAUGCAGCCUUGUUACAAUGUAAUAAAACUAGAGAACUCAAUUUCUGUAAUAUUGCAUGUGUAAACUGAAGCUGAACUGACAUGCUGUGGAAUUGUCUGAAUUGUUGAAAUGUAGAAUGUGAGACUUGAAGUUGGAAUGGGUUGAAUUGAUCAAGUAAUGUGGAAAGAGGAGGUAAUUAUGUAAACUGUCUGAAAAAAAUCAGAAUUUUAUGAAUGUGAGAAAUAGUUCCGAAGAUGUCCUGAAGGAGCUGAGCAAUUUUGUUGGAAUGGUUUUAAUCAGGUAAACAAAUCGUGAAAUGUGGAUUAGUUACUGUAAAUUUGGAAUGUCUCCAUUAAUUUCAAUGGGAUAGUUUAUGGAAAAUGUAGAAUUGUGGGAAAAGUACAAGUUGGGGAACAUGUAAAAUAGUUCACCACAGGGACGUCAUUAGGCUUAUUUUAGGGGGGGCUUCAGCCCACCUAAAUAUGUUCCUUCGCCCUCCUUGAUUUGGUUGCUAAAAAAACAUGUUAUCCAUUCCGUUCCACAUGUUCAUAUAGGAGGAUAUUCUCCUGUAUGCUUAAAUCAGAAGAGGCGCGCAGCUCCACGCUUUUCUGACUGUGUCCAUUUGUGCACCUUCUGGUCAAUUGCGCACUGUGGGUGGAGUAACCCUGAAGUGUGGGCGUUCCCUCUCAUAUCUGGCUGAGUGCGUGUUCUCCCUAAGACUUCAGCACAUUUCCUGAUCCACACUCGAGAUGUUGUAAGUCUGCUGCGCCCGUGAGGGUGUGUGUCAGAAGUCACUUACGGGAGAAUCGACGCACCUUGACAGCGCGAAAGCCAAGCACGUAAAAAGACGACUUACUGUACGCACCAAAGGGAAUAUAUGGCCCAUAGAGAAACCGCAGUCCAUGUUUUACCUGCAACCUUGCUAGCACUGGUACCUCCCUGCCGCUGUUAUUGUGCCUGGGUAACACACAGGGCUGACCUAACAGCAGCAUGACGCAAAGAACGAAGGAUGGACUUAAGAAAGUUUUCCAAGAAAGAAUCAGGACAGAUGAGUCGAGAGAGUAACAAGGGAAUGACAUCGACUGGAAAUGAACAAUAAAAAGCUGCCCUGUGAUUGGCUGGCAAACCAGUUAAGGGUGUACCCCGCCUCGUGCCCGAUGUUAGCUGGGCUAGGCUCCAGCACGCCCGCGACCCUAGUGAGGAGAAGCGGCUCAGAUAAUUGAUGGAUGGAUGAACAAUAAAAAGCUGGUAACAGAGACAAACUUCAUUUGACAACACUGCACUGGAAUUAAAACAAUUUAGCGCCAUCACAGUAUGUGGAAAAACUGUCUUGUUAUUUUGAGGCGGGCA